GUACAACUUUUCAGCAAUGGAUGUCUAGGCUCCCAC
rnacentral:rRNA from 1 species